AAUCCCCGGCAUUUACCUCGGUCCGGGGAGGAGAGAGGGCAGAGAAAGCCUCAAACCCACCAACGCCGACUUAUGAAAAUCACGCGGUCGCUUGAGGAUGACGGACGCCGUUACUCCGAUUUGACGGCUAAGGGGAACGUUUCACUGCUGGCAGCUCCGAAGACAGAGCUCUCCGGAUCCAUCCCUCCUCACUCGUCGCUUUCACUGCCCCUCCCUCCCUUCUGCCUGACCCUUCGGGGCCCGCGCCGUCGGGCCGAGGGCACUCCCGGCCUCCUCCUCUCCUCUCUCCCCCAGAUGCCAUAUGAACCAAGGGAUGGAACAUGUCCUCUUUGAAGACAGGCUGAGAGAGAUUGGGCUGUUCAGCCUGGAGAAGAGAAGGCUCUGGGGAGACCUGAGAGCAACCUUUCAGCAUCUGAAGAGGGGCUAUAAGAAAGAAAGCUACUGACUCUUUAGCAGGGUCUGUUGUGAUGGGACAGGGAGAAAUGGUUUCAAACUAAAAGAGGAGAGAUUCCAAUUGGAUCUACUGCAACUACUCAGAAAAAAAUAUGUUGAAGUAUGGACAAGAAGUUACAGUUCUAUUGUUGAUAAGUUGGAGAGCUCGGCAUCAUGAGAAUUUGACUGAGUCAGUGCUUAGUAAUCAUGAGGAUUCAGCAUUAUAUGGAUAUGGAUGGCUUUUGGUUCUGGUGCACAACACAUUGGACCCCCCUGUCAUCACUGAGCUCAGAACUCAGGAUUUUGGUGAUCUGGAAAAGGUGAUGGAGACCACUGUCCAGAUGGUGGCACACUUACACUGGUUGUGGGAAAAGUCUUCCUUGGCUCCCCC
ensembl:lncRNA